CCUACGGGUGGCAGCAGUGGGGAAUAUUGCACAAUGGGGGAAACCCUGAUGCAGCAACGCCGCGUGAGUGAAGAAGUAUUUCGGUAUGUAAAGCUCUAUCAGCAGGGAAGAGAAUGACGGUACCUGACUAAGAAGCACCGGCUAACUACGUGCCAGCAGCCGCGGUAAUACGUAGGGGGCGAGCGUUAUUCGGAUUUACUGGGUGUAAAGGGAGCGUAGACGGGUCUGCAAGUCAGAUGUGAAAGCCCGUGGCUUAACCAUGGAACGGCAUUGGAAACUGUGGAACUGGAGUGCUGGAGAGGUAAGCGGAAUUCCUGGUGUAGCGGUGAAAUGCGUAGAUAUUAGGAGGAAUACCAGUGGCGAAGGCGGCUUACUGGACUGUAACUGACGUUGAGGCUCGAAAGCGUGGGGAGCAAACAGGAUUAGAUACCCCUGUAGUC
rnacentral:rRNA from 1 species